AACUCGGAGAUAGCUGGUUCUCCCCGAAAUGUAUUUAGGUACAGCCUCAAUCGUAGUCUUAAGGAGGUAGGGCACUGGAUGGGAUAGGGGGCGUAAGCUUACCAAACCUAACCAAACCACGAAUGCCUUAAGAUGUUCAUUGGGAGUGAGACAGUGGGGGAUAAGCUUCAUUGUCGAAAGGGAAACAGCCCAGACCGCAGGUUAAGGCCCCUAAAUGUGAACUAAGUGUGAAAGGAAGUAAGAUUCCUAAAACAGCUAGGAGGUUGGCUUAGAAGCAGCCAUCCUUUGAAGAGUGCGUAACUGCUCACUAGUCGAGGAAUCUUGCGCCGAAAAUGUAACGGGGCUAAGUUCACUGCCGAAACCGCGGAUCUAAUAAUUUAUUAUUAGGUGGUAGGGGAGCGUUGUUAUCAGCAUAGAAGCUCAAAUGUGAGUUUGAGUGGAGCAAUGACAAGUGAGAAUGGCGGCAUGAGUAGCGACAAUCCUGGUGAGAAUCCAGGACACCGAAAGCCCAAGGUUUCCUACACAACGCUGAUCGAUGUAGGGUAAGUCGGGCCUAAGCCGUAGCGUGCAAGCGAAGGCGAUGGACAACGGGUUAAUAUUCCCGUACUGCUACUAUUUUGUUAUAAAGUAAAGGGGGGACACGGAAAGGUAAACGAAGCGUGCCUAUUGGACAUGGUACGUUCUAUCCCGUAGGCCAAGCUAUAAUAGGCAAAUCCGUUAUAGCGUUACGAGCUGAGAGGAUGGAGAACUUUCGGGCUUCGGCCCUAGGGAACUUCGUUGAUCCUAUACCGUCGAGAAAAGCCUCGUUACAAGAAAUAGAAGCAUCCGUACCGCAAACCGACACAGGUAGGCUGGGGUAAGUGUCCCAAGGUGAACGAGAUAACCCUCCUUAAGGAAUUCGACAAAUUAGCCCUGUAACUUUGGGAGAAAGGGUGCCCAUGAGGUGAAAUCCACUUGCUGGAUGGAGGCCUUUGUGGGUCGCAGCAAAGAGGCUCAGGCGACUGUUUAUCAAAAACACAGGUGUCUGCUAAACCGAAAGGUGAUGUAUAGGCGCUGACGCCUGCCCAGUGCCGGAAGGUUAAGGGAAUGGGUUCGUUAAAUUCGUUUAACAAAGCUCAGAACCGAAGCCCCGGUGAACGGCGGCCGUAACUAUAACGGUCCUAAGGUAGCGAAGUCCCUUGUCGGGUAAGUUCCGACCUGCACGAAUGGCGUCACGACCUGAGCGUUGUCUCAAGGGGGGACUCGGUGAAAUUGCAAGGCCAGUGAAGAUGCUGGCUACCCGCAACAGGACAAAAAGACCCCGUGGAGCUUUACUGCAACUUGACAGUGGAUUGUGGUUAUAUAUGUGUAGGAUAGGCGGGAGACUUUGAAGCUAUCACGCCAGUGAUAGUGGAGUCAACCUUGAAAUACCGCUCUUCUAUGACCUAUGUCCUAACCCCUUUGAAAUAGGGGGACACUGCCAGGUGGGCAGUUUGACUGGGGCGGUCGCCUCCUAAAGAGUAAC
rnacentral:rRNA from 1 species